GUGCCAGCAGCCGCGGUAAUACGGAGGGUGCAAGCGUUAUCCGGAUUUACUGGGUUUAAAGGGUGUGUAGGCGGACUAUUAAGUCAGCGGUGAAAUCUCCGGGCUCAACCCGGAAACUGCCUUUGAUACUAUUAGUCUUGAAUGUUGUUGAGGUGGGCGGAACGGGUCAUGUAGCGGUGAAAUGCAUAGAUAUGACCCGGAACACCGAUUGCGAAGGCAGCCCACUAAGCAACGAUUGACGCUGAGGUACGAAAGCGUGGGGAUCAAACAGGAUUAGAUACCCUGGUAGUCCACGCCCUAAACGAUGAUUACUCGACGUUGGCGAUACACUGAUCAGCGUCCAAGCGAAAGCAUUAAGUAAUCCACCUGGGAAGUACGUUCGCAAGAAUGAA
rnacentral:rRNA from 1 species